UUCAUUUGCCACAUCACCGUUAAACAAACCCUUCACUUAACAAACCUUUCAUCAAUAAUAAAUAAAUCUGUUCAAAAAAUUUAUAUGUGAGACUGUAAUACCCCGUAUUUUUAACCCGUGAAUUAAAUCUCAAAGUAUCUUAUAUAGUAUAUUUUAAAAUUAUUUUAUAAAAUAUUAUUAUUAUUUGCAAUGAAUUUAAUUAUAUAAUACAAGUCAAGUCGAAAUUGUUUUUCAACCCUUAGUAUCGUGUUCCCGAUUCAAUAAUCUUGUUUCCGAGUUGAACUACAAAUUAUCAAUUGCAUUUUGGUUAAGCCCAAAUACUUAUUGUAGUACACUAGUACUACACAAAACUUGUACUACAUAUUUCUUCAUCCAAUACAAGUACUACUACCUCUAAAAAAAAAAUAAAAAAAUAAAAAAUAAAUAAAAAAAAAGUCUUCCUCCUAUUCUCUUAAAGCUCCUCCGUAACCACCCCGUUGCCGCCCAACCACCACCACCGGAGACCACCAACUAACCAUCAACCAACAAAGGAGGAUUGUCGAGUUCGUAAUUAAACCUUCGUGUUUGUUUGAUACGCUAAGAUCGAUCAAGAUAGGUGAUGGCGAUCAGACAACGUGAACUAUAUGCUGCAUUGGGAAUGAUGGGCGGUGAUCACCUAGUUUAAUUUAGUAUACAUAGUAUUAGUGGUGUAGCUAUUUUGAAAGUGUAUCAAACUAUUAUUAUUAAUGAAAGUUAAGUACUAUUUUCCGCUGCAAAACUCUGUUAAGCCUUACGUAAUCACGUGUCGGUAAUACUCCCAUGUUACUCCCUAAAGUUGGAUUAUUAUUGUAAAGUGGCCUGGGCUCAAACAAGAUUUAUUUUACAGACAU